CAGAUAUGAAAUGGUUACCCACGGAUUUGCAGGGCUCUGCUCUUCGUGCUUGAAAUACAUGGGAAAUAUUAGUUUUGCCAUCUGCUCUGGGGAGCCAUAUAGAUAUGCUAAAUGCCUUAAACCAAUCCAGAUGCAAGUGCAGACUUGGAAGGAAAAGAUAGACCAAGGAGAGGAGAAAACAGAAAUACAUGGAGAACGCAGGUGCUGAGAGACGGAAAGAUAUGCUGGAAAUUAUGCAACUCUUUUAGUUUAUGAAGGAAGACAUGGAACUGGUGAUCGAUGUAGCAGAGCAAAACUUUUUGAUGGGAAGUGUGGAGAAUAUGCACAAUGAAUAUGUCGCCAAACGCUCCGCGGAGAUUUCCCAUCUCAGCGAGCUGAUUGAUGAGAUGGAGGGGAAGUGCCAGCAGCAGCGAGUGAAUUCCUGCAGGUGAGACCCAUGAUUCAUGCAAGGCAUUUGGGGAAGGGGUAGAGGGUGAAACUCACAAGUCAUAGA
rnacentral:lncRNA from 1 species